GACUAGGGGGUGCUAGUGUGCUUAACACGUGCAAGUCGAAAGAACGCUUCACGUUAGUAUCGGACCGGUGAACUAUGCGGGAGAACCUGCAAUCUCGCAGGGGGAUGACCUGGGGAAACGGCCGCUAAUACCCCAUAUGCCGAGAGGUGAAAUGAAUUUCGCCUGAGGAUGAGCUCGCGUCUGAUUAGCUAGUUGGUGGGGUAAAGGCCUACCAAGGCAUCGAUCAGUAGCUGGUCUGAGAGGAUGAUCAGCCACACUGGGACUGAGACACGGCCCAGACUCCUACGGGAGGCAGCAGUGGGGAAUUUUCCGCAAUGGGCGCAAGCCUGACGGAGCAACGCCGCGUGAGGGAUGAAGGCCUCUGGGCUGUAAACCUCUUUUCUCAAGGAAGAAGAACUGACGGUACUUGAGGAAUAAGCCACGGCUAAUUCCGUGCCAGCAGCCGCGGUAAUACGGGAGUGGCAAGCGUUAUCCGGAAUUAUUGGGCGUAAAGCGUCCGCAGGCGGCCUUGAAAGUCUGUCGUUAAAGCGUGGAGCUUAACUCCAUUUCGGCGGUGGAAACUACAAGGCUUGAGUGUGGUAGGGGCAGAGGGAAUUCCCGGUGUAGCGGUGAAAUGCGUAGAUAUCGGGAAAGACACCAGUGGCGAAAGCGCUCUGCUGGGCCAUAACUGACGCUCAUGGACGAAAGCUAGGGGAGCGAAAGGGAUAGAUACCCCUGUGUCCUAGCCGUAA
rnacentral:rRNA from 1 species